rnacentral:rRNA from 1 species
ACUCAAAGGAAUAGACGGGGGCCCGCACAAGCGGUGGAUGAUGUGGAUUAAUUCGAUGCAACGCGAAGAACCUUACCUACCCUUGACAUGGCAGGAACUUGCCAGAGAUGGCUUGGUGCCCGAAAGGGAACCUGCACACAGGUGCUGCAUGGCUGUCGUCAGCUCGUGUCGUGAGAUGUUGGGUUAAGUCCCGCAACGAGCGCAACCCUUGUCAUUAGUUGCUACGAAAGGGCACUCUAAUGAGACUGCCGGUGACAAACCGGAGGAAGGUGGGGAUGACGUCAAGUCCUCAUGGCCCUUAUGGGUAGGGCUUCACACGUCAUACAAUGGUCGGUACAGAGGGUUGCCAACCCGCGAGGGGGAGCCAAUCCCACAAAGCCGAUCGUAGUCCGGAUCGUAGUCUGCAACUCGACUACGUGAAGUCGGAAUCGCUAGUAAUCGCAGGUCAGCAUACUGCGGUGAAUACGUUCCCGGGCCUUGUACACACCGCCCGU